rnacentral:rRNA from 1 species
GGGCCCACACAAGCGGUGGAGCAUGUGGUUUAAUUCGAUGCAACGCGAAGAACCUUACCUACUCUUGACAUCUAGAGAACUUGGCAGAGAUGCCUUGGUGCCUUCGGGAACUCUAAGACAGGUGCUGCAUGGCUGUCGUCAGCUCGUGUUGUGAAAUGUUGGGUUAAGUCCCGCAACGAGCGCAACCCUCAUCCCUAUUUGCCAGCACUUCGGGUGGGAACUUCAGGGAAACUGCCGGUGAUAAGCUGGAGGAAGGCGGGACGACGUCAAGUCAUCAUGGCCCUUACGAGUAGGGCUACACACGUGCUACAAUGGUACAUACAGAGGGUAUAGCCAACUUGUGAAAGCGAG